GUGAACGCUGGCGGUAGGCCUAACACCUGCAAGUCGAACGGCAGCACAGUAAGAGCUUGCUCUUCCGGGUGGCGAGUGGCGGACGGGUGAGGAAUACAUCGGAAUCUACUUUUUCGUGGGGGAUAACGUAGGGAAACUUACGCUAAUACCGCAUACGACCUACGGGUGAAAGCAGGGGAUCUUCGGACCUUGCGCGAUUGAAUGAGCCGAUGUCGGAUUAGCUAGUUGGCGGGGUAAAGGCCCACCAAGGCGACGAUCCGUAGCUGGUCUGAGAGGAUGAUCAGCCACACUGGAACUGAGACACGGUCCAGACUCCUACGGGAGGCAGCAGUGGGGAAUAUUGGACAAAGGGCGCAAGCCUGAUCCAGCCAUACCGCGUGGGUGAAGAAGGCCUUCGGGUUGUAAAGCCCUUUUGUUGGGAAAGAAAAGCAGCAGGUUAAUACCCCGCUGUUCUGACGGUACCCAAAGAAUAAGCACCGGCUAACUUCGUG
rnacentral:rRNA from 1 species